UCUGUUUUUGUAACAUUUUGUAUUUUAUUUGCAGAAGUUUCUUCAUUGGAAAAAAGGCAGUGACAUUAAAUGUUGUGUUUUUUUUUUGUUUUUUUAAGGGAAGAUAAGUUACAACCUACUAACCAAUCAAUACUCGAUUGAUAAUGACGUCACCAUUCUUGAGAUCUGGUGGAGCUCGGUGCGCGGAUAGUGAGAGUUUUCAUUUCAGGCAAAGUGUGCAACCCUCCUCCUCCCCUUCCUCCCCCAGUCAUCGUCACCCACGGCACCCUGGGUCCUCCUCCAGCAGACCGCUCCCGUUGGCUCCUUUGGUCCGGUCUUCGGGCUCCUUCACCACCACCAUCAGUGUCUAGACUCCAUCGGGGGGAUAUGCCUUGGCUUCUCUACUCCUUUAAAAAUAAUUUUUAUAACAAUGGAGUCCAAUCUCCAAAGACUGUACAUUUCAUAUUAUGCAUAUGUACAAAUAAACCUUUGCAUAUUU